rnacentral:rRNA from 1 species
UACAGAGGUCCCGAGCGUUGUUCGGAUUCACUGGGCGUAAAGGGUGCGUAGGCGGCUUUGCAAGUCUGAUGUGAAAUCUCCGGGCCCAACCCGGAAAUGGCAUUAGAAACUGUGAGGCUGGAGGCUUGGAGGGGGAACUGGAAUACUUGGUGUAGCAGUGAAAUGCGUAGAUAUCAAGUGGAACACCGGUGGCGAAGGCGAGUUCCUGGACAAGACCUGACGCUGAGGCACGAAAGCCGGGGAGCAAACAGG